rnacentral:piRNA from 1 species
UCUGAGGCUUUGCUGAAGGAUCCUUUGAGC